AAUGAACGUUGGCGGCGUGGAUUAGGCAUGCGAGUCGUGCGAGAACUGUAGCAAUACAGGGACAGCGGCGAAAGGGAGAGGAUAACGUGAGAAUCUGCCCUCGGACCGGGGAUAGCGGCAGGAAACUGCCGGUAAUACCCGAUAAUGUCUGCGGACCAAAGGUGUGAUUCCGUCCGAGGAUGAGCUCACGUCCUAUUAGCUAGUUGGCGGGGUAAUGGCCCACCAAGGCAAUGAUGGGUAGCUGGUGUGAGAGCAUGACCAGCCUCAUUGGCACUGAGACACUGGCCAGACACCUACGGGUGGCUG
rnacentral:rRNA from 1 species